UCGUACUAGACGGGGAAUUAGCGGAGCCUUGUAACCCGCAAUCCGCUCCAGCGGGGUUGAAUUCCUUCUAGAGGCUGCUGUACUGUAGGGCCUGCCUUAAGUAAGUGGUGUGGACACUUGGGUCCCGCGCAAUGAGAAUCCAUGAACCAUGUCAGGUCCGGAAGGAAGCAGCAUUAAGUGGAAGCUCUCAUGUGCCGCGGGGUUGCCUGGGUCGAGCUAACUGCUUAAGUAACGCCUAUGGUAUACAGUCGAAGGAAGGUGUACGA
rnacentral:SRP_RNA from 2 species